GAUGAACGCUGGCGGCGUGCCUAAUACAUGCAAGUCGAGCGAACAGACGAGGAGCUUGCUCCUCUGACGUUAGCGGCGGACGGGUGAGUAACACGUGGAUAACCUACCUAUAAGACUGGGAUAACUUCGGGAAACCGGAGCUAAUACCGGAUAACAUGUUGAACCGCAUGGUUCAACAGUGAAAGACGGUUUUGCUGUCACUUAUAGAUGGAUCCGCGUCGCAUUAGCUAGUUGGUAAGGUAACGGCUUACCAAGGCAACGAUGCGUAGCCGACCUGAGAGGGUGAUCGGCCACACUGGAACUGAGACACGGUGCAGACUCCUACGGGAGGCAGCAGUAGGGAAUCUUCCGCAAUGGGCGAAAGCCUGACGGAGCAACGACGCGUGAGUGAUGAAGGUCUUCGGAUCGUAAAACUCUGUUAUUAGGGAAGAACAAAUGUGUAAGUAACUAUGCACGUCUUGACGGUACCUAAUCAGAAAGCCACGGCUAACUACGUG
rnacentral:rRNA from 1 species